rnacentral:rRNA from 1 species
AGCCCAGACUCCUACGGGAGGCAGCAGUGGGGAAUAUUGCACAAUGGGGGAAACCCUGAUGCAGCGACGCCGCGUGAGCGAUGAAGUAUUUCGGUAUGUAAAGCUCUAUCAGCAGGGAAGAAGAUGACGGUACCUGACUAAGAAGCCCCGGCUAACUACGUGCCAGCAGCCGCGGUAAUACGUAGGGGGCAAGCGUUAUCCGGAUUUACUGGGUGUAAAGGGAGCGUAGACGGCGAUGCAAGCCAGAUGUGAAGGCCCGGGGCUCAACCCCGGGACUGCAUUUGGAACUGUGUGGCUGGAGUGUCGGAGAGGCAGGCGGAAUUCCUAGUGUAGCGGUGAAAUGCGUAGAUAUUAGGAGGAACACCAGUGGCGAAGGCGGCUUACUGGACUGUAACUGACGUUGAGGCUCGAAAGCGUGGGGAGCAAACAGGAUUAGAUACCCCCGUA